CUUGCCAUUGACUGCAUUACUGCACUAAGCUACAUCUCCUCUAAAAACAGAGGGGAUGAGCGCACGUCAUGCCGUGUUCAGGUGUUUAGUGAACAUACAGAGCAGGCUUGAGUUAUUUGUGGGGCACUACAGAGCAGGCUUACAUAUUUAAAGCAGAAUUCACCCAGUACAGAAGAAAAGAACCCAUGCUUUGCAUACACAGCUGCACAGAGAGAGAGAGAGAGUGGGGGGAAUAAAAAAAGGUUUUAUGUACAACUUUGCCCAGUGUAGUGAAGCAGAACCUGGGAGAAGCAUAGGGAAAGACCAAAGUACACUCAGCAAAGAGCACCCUGUUCCCUUCCUAGUCUGCCACUGAGCAGGGCUGACCCUUGAGAGCAGUCACAGGUAAACUCUCACAGCCACUUUGGAGGGCAGGAUGACCCUCUCCCAGCUGCUACACCAAAAAAGCCUGCAGAGAACCAGAUCCCAAGGAGAAAGUACCUUCUCCUCUUGAGCUACUGCUUGCCAUGUCCUCGUCAGCUGGUUUCCUCACCGAUAUCUCUGCAGCUUCUCCCAGCUCGAGUCAUCUGCUGUUCUCUCCCUUUCAGAGCAAGGCAGCAACAGCUUUUGUUGAGUUCCCUGACGUAAGUGCUCUCCAAAACAAACCUCCGUGGAUUUCACUGUAGAACUGCCAGGCACAACAAUGAUCCACUGCUGUCAAGGACCUACUGCAUGCCAUCACGUGCCCCAGGCUUAAACUCCUUGAGAUUCUUGUUACAUCCUUGUCUAAGAUCCUGUCUUACAGAAACAGCUGUAUCACAGACUCAGUUACACCAUGGUUAUCCCUCAUUAUGAUUAAAAUACCAUGUUUAUUUUCUCUUGUGCUAAAGAUCUAAGAACAUCCUUACCAUCAUGCUAGACUCUGCUCCAGCCAAAACUGUAGCACUGGUCAGGUGUCAUUUAGACCUAUGAUUGAAUCAGGACAGGAUACAACCAUGCUCUAACUGGAUUCUGCCAACAAACUUUCUCUUUUCAGCAUACAGACGUCUGUCUUCCCUCACUGGAACUGGCCUAACAGAAUUCUUCCCAUCGACAUCAGCUAGUGAAGGACCACCUUUCCUUGCUACCUUCCUUGAAGGACAGCUCUGGGCCGCAGCUCCGGGCAGCGCCGUUUCUGCACUAAGGUGCCACGGUCUGCAGGGUUUUCCGCCCGAGGGCUCACCAUGACAAAGCUUCUCACCAAAAAUCACCUGCCACGUCUUGCUGAGCUCUUCACCAAGACAUCUUAGUCAUACUAUAUAAACCUUGCCCAACAGCAAAGCAUUAAUGAGCUCAUCAGACUGCUGACUCCGGUCGGCUAAUUCACACCAAACACUACCACUAUCAAACCUUGCUUAUUCUCUCUGCUCUCUGCUAAGACUCUCCCCUUGCACAGCCUGAACCCAGCAUGCCCUCAAAUGGUUCUGUACAUCCCAGCCCUCUGCUUGUAUAAACUGGGCUGUCCACUCCUACGCACACGCGGGGAACGGCCCCUUGGCGGCACCAAUCGGGGUGUCACGCUGGUCAGGGCAGUGGAUCAGAUGUGUUUCUCAAUGACUGCAAACACCCAGAGUUCAGACUGUUCCAGCAGCCCAGCACCACCCCUGCGAUCGCAUCUGCAGGAACCUUGAAAACAAAGCUGCGUCAGAGAGGGGCAGAGCUGCCAAGGAGACAGUCAACCUUUUUUGGAAUAUUUGCACGCUUUUGGAAAACGUUUUCUCCUUUUUCAUUCAAGCUUUUCUGGAGAAGCACGUUACAAACAUGAAUACCAGGGAGAAUGAAUCGCCUGCCUUCUACUUAGGAAUGAGGGCCAUUGUGAUAAUGAGAGUCUGAAUGUGAGAGAACUCAACACAAUGGAAGAUUUAUCUUGGAACCAGUCCCUUGGCAGCUUAAACCCAUGCUGAUAUCAGCACAGUUUCUCAUUGCAUAAAGACUAGGGACCAGACUCUGGAUGACAGAACCAUUUCUAUCUCGAGUGCAUCCUGUUAACACAGUGAUGGCCGUGAACAGUUGGUUACCAUUGAUAAAACUAAUUUCCCUUUUUCUUCCCCUCUUUUUAUUUUGGCAAGUGUUCUUAUAAAUGACUGUUUCAAAGCUU